rnacentral:rRNA from 1 species
GGGUUGUGAGGUUAAGCGACUAAGCGUACACGGUGGAUGCCCUGGCAGUCAGAGGCGAUGAAGGGCGUGCUAAUCUGCGAUAAGCGCCGGUAAGGUGAUAUGAACCGUUAUAACCGGCGAUACCCGAAUGGGGAAACCCAGUGUGAUUCGUCACACUAUCAUUAACUGAAUCCAUAGGUUAAUGAGGCGAACCGGGGGAACUGAAACAUCUAAGUACCCCGAGGAAAAGAAAUCAACCGAGAUUCCCCCAGUAGCGGCGAGCGAACGGGGAGGAGCCCAGAGCCUGAAUCAGCAUGUGUGUUAGUGGAAGCGUCUGGAAAGGCGCGCGAUACAGGGUGACAGCCCCGUACACAAAAGCGCAUGUGCUGUGAGCUCGAUGAGUAGGGCGGGACACGUGGUAUCCUGUCUGAAUAUGGGGGGACCAUCCUCCAAGGCUAAAUACUCCUGACUGACCGAUAGUGAACCAGUACCGUGAGGGAAAGGCGAAAAGAACCCCGGCGAGGGGAGUGAAAAAGAACCUGAAACCGUGUACGUACAAGCAGUGGGAGCACCCUUCGGGGUGUGACUGCGUACCUUUUGUAUAAUGGGUCAGCGACUUAUAUUCUGUAGCAAGGUUAACCGAAUAGGGGAGCCGGAGGGAAACCGAGUCUUAACCGGGCGUUAAGUUGCAGGGUAUAGACCCGAAACCCGGUGAUCUAGCCAUGGGCAGGUUGAAGGUUGGGUAACACUAACUGGAGGACCGAACCGACUAAUGUUGAAAAAUUAGCGGAUGACCUGUGGCUGGGGGUGAAAGGCCAAUCAAACCGGGAGAUAGCUGGUUCUCCCCGAAAGCUAUUUAGGUAGCGCCUCGUGAAUUCAUCUCCGGGGGUAGAGCACUGUUUCGGCUAGGGGGCCAUCCCGGCUUACCAACCCGAUGCAAACUGCGAAUACCGGAGAAUGUUAUCACGGGAGACACACGGCGGGUGCUAACGUCCGUCGUGAAGAGGGAAACAACCCAGACCGCCAGCUAAGGUCCCAAAGUCAUGGUUAAGUGGGAAACGAUGUGGGAAGGCCCAGACAGCCAGGAUGUUGGCUUAGAAGCAGCCAUCAUUUAAAGAAAGCGUAAUAGCUCACUGGUCGAGUCGGCCUGCGCGGAAGAUGUAACGGGGCUAAACCAUGCACCGAAGCUGCGGCAGCGACACUGUGUGUUGUUGGGUAGGGGAGCGUUCUGUAAGCCUGUGAAGGUGUGUCGUGAGGCAUGCUGGAGGUAUCAGAAGUGCGAAUGCUGACAUAAGUAACGAUAAAGCGGGUGAAAAGCCCGCUCGCCGGAAGACCAA